UACGAAGGGGGCUAGCGUUGUUCGGAUUUACUGGGCGUAAAGCGCACGUAGGCGGAUCGUUAAGUCGGGGGUGAAAUCCUGGAGCUCAACUCCAGAACUGCCUUCGAUACUGGCGAUCUCGAGUCCGGAAGAGGUGAGUGGAACUCCUAGUGUAGAGGUGGAAUUCGUAGAUAUUAGGAAGAACACCAGUGGCGAAGGCGACUCACUGGUCCGGUACUGACGCUGAGGUGCGAAAGCGUGGGAGCAAACAGGG
rnacentral:rRNA from 1 species